rnacentral:rRNA from 1 species
GAUGAACGCUGGCGGCGUGCCUAAUACAUGCAAGUCGAGCGAACAGACGAGGAGCUUGCUCCUCUGAUGUUAGCGGCGGACGGGUGAGUAACACGUGGAUAACCUACCUAUAAGACUGGGAUAACUUCGGGAAACCGGAGCUAAUACCGGAUAACAUGUUGAACCGCAUGGUUCAACAGUGAAAGACGGUCUUGCUGUCACUUAUAGAUGGAUCCGCGCCGCAUUAGCUAGUUGGUAAGGUAACGGCUUACCAAGGCAACGAUGCGUAGCCGACCUGAGAGGGUGGUCGGCCACACUGGAACUGAGACACGGUCCAGACUCCUACGGGAGGCAGCAGUAGGGAAUCUUCCGCAAUGGGCGAAAGCCUGACGGAGCAACGCCGCGUGAGUGAAGAAGGUCUUCGGAUCGUAAAACUCUGUUAUUAGGGAAGAACAAAUGUGUAAGUAACUAUGCACGUCUUGACGGUACCUAAUCAGAAAGCCACGGCUAACUACGUG